AUUGAACGCUGGCGGUAUGCCUAACACAUGCAAGUCGAACGAGUGGCGGACGGGUGAGUAAUGCAUAGGAAUCUACCUUUUAGUCUGGGAUAACUACCAGAAAGGGGGUCUAAUACUGGAUCCUAAGAGAUGAGCCUAUGUGGGAUUAGCUAGUUGGUGGGUUAAUGGCUCACAAGGGCGACGACCUCUAGCGGGUGUGAGAGGAUGAUCAGCCACACUGGGACUGAGACACGGACCAGACUCCUACGUGAGGCAGCAGUGGGGAAUAUUGCACAAUGGGCGCAAGCCUGAUGCAGCCAUGCCGCGGGUAUGAAGAAGGCCUUCGGGUUGUAAAGUACUUUCAGCGGGGAGGCGUUACCCGCAGAAGAAGCACCGGCUAACUCCGUGCCAGCCGCCGCGGUAAUAC
rnacentral:rRNA from 1 species